rnacentral:rRNA from 1 species
GGUUAAGCGACUAAGCGUACACGGUGGAUGCCCUGGCAGUCAGAGGCGAUGAAGGACGUGCUAAUCUGCGAUAAGCGUCGGUGAGGUGAUAUGAACCGUUAUAACCGGCGAUUUCCGAAUGGGGAAACCCAGUGUGUUUCGACACACUAUCAUUAACUGAAUCCAUAGGUUAAUGAGGCGAACCGGGGGAACUGAAACAUCUAAGUACCCCGAGGAAAAGAAAUCAACCGAGAUUCCCCCAGUAGCGGCGAGCGAACGGGGAGGAGCCCAGAGCCUGAAUCAGUGUGUGUGUUAGUGGAAGCGUCUGGAAAGGCGCGCGAUACAGGGUGACAGCCCCGUACACAAAAAUGCACAUAUUGUGAGCUCGAUGAGUAGGGCGGGACACGUGGUAUCCUGUCUGAAUAUGGGGGGACCAUCCUCCAAGGCUAAAUACUCCUGACUGACCGAUAGUGAACCAGUACCGUGAGGGAAAGGCGAAAAGAACCCCGGCGAGGGGAGUGAAAAAGAACCUGAAACCGUGUACGUACAAGCAGUGGGAGCCUCUUAAUGGGGUGACUGCGUACCUUUUGUAUAAUGGGUCAGCGACUUAUAUUCUGUAGCAAGGUUAACCGAAUAGGGGAGCCGAAGGGAAACCGAGUCUUAACUGGGCGUUAAGUUGCAGGGUAUAGACCCGAAACCCGGUGAUCUAGCCAUGGGCAGGUUGAAGGUUGGGUAACACUAACUGGAGGACCGAACCGACUAAUGUUGAAAAAUUAGCGGAUGACUUGUGGCUGGGGGUGAAAGGCCAAUCAAACCGGGAGAUAGCUGGUUCUCCCCGAAAGCUAUUUAGGUAGCGCCUCGUGAAUUCAUCUCCGGGGGUAGAGCACUGUUUCGGCAAGGGGGUCAUCCCGACUUACCAACCCGAUGCAAACUGCGAAUACCGGAGAAUGUUAUCACGGGAGACACACGGCGGGUGCUAACGUCCGUCGUGAAGAGGGAA